rfam:Neotoma lepida isolate 417 scaffold_1778, whole genome shotgun sequence.
GGGGUGGUGGCUCAGGGGUUAAGAGCACUGGUUGCUCCUCUAGAGGUCCUGAGUUCAAUUCCCAGCAACCACA